rnacentral:lncRNA from 1 species
GCUCCACUAUGUUCAUUGCAGCCUUAUUUAUAAUAGCCAGAAACUGGAAAGAACCCAGAUGCCCUUCAACAGAGGAAUGGAUACAGAAAAUGUGGUACAUCUACACAAUGGAAUAUUACUCAGCUAUAAAACAACGACUUUAUGAAAUUCUUAGGCAAAUGGUUGGAACUGGAAAACAUCAUCCUGAGUGAGCUAACCCAAUCACAGAAAGACAUACAUGGUAGGCACUCAUUGAUAAGUGGCUAUUAGCCCAAAUGCUUGAAUUACCCUAGAUGCCUAGAACAAAUGAAACUCAAGACAGAUGAUCAAAAUGUGAAUUCUUCACUCCU